GACGAACGCUGGCGGCGUGCCUAAUACAUGCAAGUAGAACGCACAGUUUAUACCGUAGCUUGCUACACCAUAGACUGUGAGUUGCGAACGGGUGAGUAACGCGUAGGUAACCUGCCUGGUAGCGGGGGAUAACUAUUGGAAACGAUAGCUAAUACCGCAUAAUAUUGAUUAUUGCAUGAUAAUUGAUUGAAAGAUGCUAUUGCAUCACUACCAGAUGGACCUGCGUUGUAUUAGCUAGUAGGUGAGGUAACGGCUCACCUAGGCGACGAUACAUAGCCGACCUGAGAGGGUGAUCGGCCACAAUGGGACUGGGACACAGCCCAGACUCCUACGGGAGGCAGCAGUAGGGAAUCUUCGGCAAUGGACGAAAGUCUGACCGAGCAACGCCGCGUGAGUGAAGAAGGUUUUCGGAUCGUAAAGCUCUGUUGUAAGAGAAGAACGGGUGUGAGAGUGGAAAGUUCACACUGUGACGGUAUCUUACCAGAAAGGGACGGCUAACUACGUG
rnacentral:rRNA from 1 species